UCGGCCUCGCUGCGCUCUUCAGCGACCCCACACGUGCCUCUGACAGCCUGGACUCCUGAACACAGUGCAGGUGAUUCUGUCUCAUUUUCCUCUUCAUUGGGUCUAAUCUGGUCCAUAAAAUGCUGGAUCUCUAGUGCCUAGAAUCCAGAGCAGGCGCUCUGGAAAGAUGAUGAAAUAAAUUGAUGUAACCCUUGAUUGCAAGAAUAACUGGGAGAAAACGGAAUGAAUCGUGCCUGCAACGUCUCUUCAAUGGCUGACACCUUUCACCCAUGUGGAGUCUGGCCUACUUCAGGAGAUUCACAAUGGACAGGACGUGUUCUGCUUUCAAAGGACACUACCUGGCCCUGACGUUCAAAGCCCGUGUUCUCCAGAUCCUGCAUCUGGCUUUUGUCUCAGUCCACCAAAGUGAGGACCUCCACUGUGCAUUCUUGUGAAGAAGAGCCAGGCAAAUUCUAGGAGAGACCAGGAGAAGUAAUUAGAUCUGCAGAGGAG
rnacentral:lncRNA from 1 species